GUGCCAGCAGCCGCGGUAAUACGGAAGGUCCGGGCGUUAUCCGGAUUUAUUGGGUUUAAAGGGAGCGCAGGCCGUUUGGUAAGCGUGUUGUGAAAUGUCCGGGCUCAACCUGGGCACUGCAGCGCGAACUGUCAGACUUGAGUGCACAGGAAGCGGGCGGAAUUCGUGGUGUAGCGGUGAAAUGCUUAGAUAUCACGAAGAACUCCAAUUGCGAAGGCAGCUCGCUGUAGUGUUACUGACGCUAAAGCUCGAAAGUGCGGGUAUCGAACAGGAUUAGAUACCCUGGUAGUCCGCACGGUAAACGAUGGAUGCCCGCUGUUUGCCCUUCGGGGUGAGUGGCUAAGCGAAAGCGUUAAGCAUCCCACCUGGGGAGUACGCCGGCAACGGUGAAACUCAAAGGAAUUGACGGGGGCCCGCACAAGCGGAGGAACAUGUGGUUUAAUUCGAUGAUACGCGAGGAACCUUACCCGGGCUUGAAUUGCAGAUGACGGAUCUAGAGAUAGAUUUUUCCUUCGGGACAUCUGUGAAGGUGCUGCAUGGUUGUCGUCAGCUCGUGCCGUGAGGUGUCGGCUUAAGUGCCAUAACGAGCGCAACCCUUCUCUUCAGUUGCCAUCAGGUUAAGCUGGGCACUCUGGAGACACUGCCACCGUAAGGUGUGAGGAAGGUGGGGAUGACGUCAAAUCAGCACGGCCCUUACGUCCGGGGCUACACACGUGUUACAAUGGCCGGUACAGAAAGUCGGAUGCCCGUAAGGUCAUUCUAAUCAAGAAAGCCGGUCCCAGUUCGGACUGAGGUCUGCAACCCGACCUCACGAAGCUGGAUUCGCUAGUAAUCGCGCAUCAGCCAUGGCGCGGUGAAUACGUUCCCGGGCCUUGUACACACCGCCCGU
rnacentral:rRNA from 1 species